AUUGAACGCUAGCGGGAUGCCUUACACAUGCAAGUCGAACGGAGUGGCGAACGGGUGCGUAAUGUAUCGGAACGUGCCCCGUCGCGGGGGAUAACUACGCGAAAGCGUAGCUAAUACCGCAUACUCUUGGAGCGGCCGAUAUCGGAUUGGCUAGUUGGUGGGGUAACGGCUCACCAAGGCGACGGUCCGUAGCUGGUUUGAGAGGAAGACCAGCCACACUGGGACUGAGACACGGCCCAGACUCCUACGGGAGGCAGCAGUGGGGAAUAUUGGACAAUGGGCGAAACCCUGAUCCAGCCAUGCCGCGUGUGCGAUGAAGGCCUUCGGGUUGUAAAGCACUUUCGGCAGGAAAGCGUUACCUGCAGAAUAAGCACCGGCUAACUACGUGCCAGCCGCCGCGGUAAUUC
rnacentral:rRNA from 1 species